GAUUCCUUAGCUCAGUUGGCAGAGCAGUGGGCUUUUAACCCAACGGUCGUCGGUUCGAGCCCGACAGGAAUCAC
rnacentral:tRNA from 1 species